AGCAGAGUGGCUCAGUGGAAAGAGCACGGGCUUUGGAGUCAGAGGUCAUGAGUUUGAAUCCCAGCUCUGCCA
rnacentral:tRNA from 1 species